rnacentral:rRNA from 1 species
GAUGAACGCUGGCGGCGUGCCUAAUACAUGCAAGUCGAGCGAACGGACGCGAAGCUUGCUUCUUUGACGUUAGCGGCGGACGGGAGAGUCACACGUGUAUAACCUACCUAUAAGACUGGUAUAACUUCGGGAAACCGGCGCUAAUCCCGGAUAAUCUUUUGAACCGCAUGGUUCAAAAGUGAAAGACGGUCUUGCUGUCACUUAUAGAUGCAUCUGCGCUGCAUUAGCUAGUUGUUAAGGUAACGGCUUACCAAGGCAACGAUGCAUAGCCGACCUGAGAGGGGGAUCGGCGACACUGGAGCUGAGACACGGUCCAGACUCCUACGGGAGGCAGCAGUAGGGAAUCUUCCGCAAUGGGCGAAAGCCUGACGGAACAACGCCGCGUGAGUGAUGAAGGUCUUCGGAUCGUAAAACUCUGUUAUUAGGGAAGAACAUAUGUGUAAGUAAAUGUGCACAUCUUGACGGUACCUAAUCAGAAAGCCACGGCUAACUACGUG